rnacentral:rRNA from 1 species
AUUGAACGCUGGCGGCAUGCUUUACACAUGCAAGUCGAACGGUAACAGGCCUUCGGGUGCUGACGAGUGGCGAACGGGUGAGUAAUGCAUCGGAACGUGCCCAAUCGUGGGGGAUAACGUAGCGAAAGUUACGCUAAUACCGCAUAAGCCCUGAGGGGGAAAUGGGGGACCGCAAGGCCUCACGCGAAUGGAGCGGCCGAUGUCAGAUUAGCUAGUUGGUGGGGUAAAGGCCCACCAAGGCGACGAUCUGUAGCGGGUCUGAGAGGAUGAUCCGCCACACUGGGACUGAGACACGGCCCAGACUCCUACGGGAGGCAGCAGUGGGGAACUUUGGACAAUGGGCGCAAGCCUGAUCCAGCCAUGCCGCGUGCGGGACGAAGGCCUUCGGGUUGUAAACCGCUUUCAGCCGGAAAGAAAUCGCCGUUUUUAAUACAGACGGUGGAUGACGGUACCGGAAGAAGAAGCACCGGCUAACUACGUG